AUAAGAAUGCAGAUGUUACUAUUUCCCCCCUUUCAUCGUGGUUAUUAUAAAAGCAUUGAUACAGUGUUAAUACAUCACCAUAUAUACCUGCAACAUCUCACUGGCAACAACAAUAAAGAAAGACAGUUCAAAAAUGAAGCUUGGUUUAGUGAUUCUCAUCGCAUUCGCCUUAAUGGCUGAAACAACUGUAGCGACACCAAUCAGACCAUGUCAGUUAGUGUAUUGCUUCAUUAAUCCUUGUCAGAACGCCUCAUGUCCAAACUAUCAGGAGGCGAUUUGUAAAGCUGAUUACUGUGGUGGUUGUUACGCUCGUUUCUAUAUUGGUAAAGCGGAUGUGACGCAUCUUUGCUCACCGAAAUCAUAUCCUGAGCAUUCCUAACUUCUACCCUAAAUAAAUUUGAUACAGAUAACUAAUCUUGUGCGUCAAGACUGAAAAGGUCUACACAGAAUAUUAUAAUUACAAUAGUUGUUUCUUGUGUAUAGCUUACUUUUGCUGGUACCAUUUACUGUUUUAUUACUAGGAGAUAAAUUAGAAAAUAUAAUUAUGAUAUGUCUUGUGAACUUUGCAAUUAAACUAUUCGCACCUGCAGUUACUCUUUCAUUGACUAUAGUUUGAGUCAAAAUAUCAUGCCUGUU